rnacentral:rRNA from 1 species
GAUGAACGCUGGCGGCGUGCCUAAUACAUGCAAGUCGAGCGAACGGACGAGAAGCUUUCUUCUCUGAUGUUAGCGGCGGACGGGUUAGUAACACGUGGAUAACCUACCUAUAAGACUGGGAUAACUUCGGGAAACCGGAGCUAAUACCGGAUAAUAUUUUGAACCGCAUGGUUCAAAAGUGAAAGACGGUCUUGCUGUCACUUAUAGAUGGAUCCGCGCUGCAUUAGCUAGUUGGUAAGGUAACGGCUUACCAAGGCAACGAUGUAUAGCCGGCCUGAGAGGGUGAUCGGCCACACUGGAACUGAGACACGGUCCAGACUCCUACGGGAGGCAGCAGUAGGGAAUCUUCCGCAAUGGGCGAAAGCCUGACGGAGCAACGCCGCGUGAGUGAUGAAGGUCUUCGGAUCGUAAAACUCUGUUAUUAGGGAAGAACAGAUGUGUAAGUAACUGUGCACAUCUUGACGGUACCUAAUCAGAAAGCCACGGCUAACUACGUG